rnacentral:lncRNA from 1 species
GGGGUUCCUAGGCUUAUGAAAUGAGAAUCAAAGUGUGCACAUCUAAUCUAAACCAUCAUCAAUACUCUCAAGAUCAUAGAGAAAGAAAAGCAACCACAAAACUAAGGGGAAAACUCCAUCAAUAACACUAAUUAUGCUCAAAUUCAGUGAUGCACCUCUUUUUUUUUCUUUUUUUUUGGUUUUUUUUAUAUAUUUAAUAUAGCAGCAACCUUUUAUUCAAUUUCACUCCUCAACACAUGAUAUCCAUCUACAAAACAUUCCCCAUAAUAUCAUCUCCCAAAACUGCUUCCAUCCCAAAAACUAAUCUGAUCAAUACCAAUAUUUGGCCAAACGGAUCACAAAUCUUUAUCAUUGUACACAACACAGCAGUUUGGGCAAAUGACACAUAAUUAC